UUGCUUUUGGAACUUUAGUUUCCUUCAUAUGGUUUUUUCACUUCCUUUUUUUGGAUGGUAACUGUUUCGGGUCAAAUUACUUCUAUGGCAACUAAAUAUUGUUUCCAUAUGGUUAAAUUUUGUUUGUUUGGACUGACCAUAGAAAAUGAUUCCUUGAAUUGGCAAUCGCUUCAAUGUAGUACUCCCUCCGUCCCGCAAUAAGUGACUCAAAAAUGACUCAACUUUGUACUCCUUCCUUCAAUUGGAGUAUAUGUUUUCUUUUUGUUGGGGAACGCAGUAAUUUCAAAAGUUUUCCUACGCACACGCAAGAUCAUGGUGAUGCAUAGCAACGAGAGGGGAGAGUGUUGUCUACGUACCCACGCAGACCGACUGCGGAAGCGUUGACGCAACGUAGAGGAAGUAGUCGUACGUCUUCCCGAUCCGACCGAUCCAAGCACCGUUACUCCGGCACCUCCGAGUUCUUAGCACAGCGUCGAUGACGAUCCCCGGGCUCCGAUCCAGCAAAGCGUCGGGGAGGAGUUCCGUCAGCACGACGGCGUGGUGACGAUCUUGAUGUUCUACCGUCGCAGGGCUUCGCCUAAGCACUGCCACAAUAUGAUCGAGGUGGAAUAUGGUGGCAGGGGGCACCGCACACGGCUAAGAAACGAUCUCAAUGAUCAACUUGUGUGUCUAGAGGUGCCCCCUGCCCCCGUAUAUAAAGGAGCAAGGGGAGGAGGCCAGCCGGCCCCUACAGGCGCGCCAGGAGGAGUCCUCCUCCUAGUAGGAGUAGGACUCCUACUAGGAGGGGGAAAGAGGUGGAGUGGGAGAAGGAAAGGGGGGGCGCCGCCCCCCUCCCCUAGUCCAAUUCGGACCAGGGAGGAGGUGGUGCGCGGCCCACCUCUGGCAGCCCUUCUCUCUCUCCACUAAAGCCCAUAUGGCCCAUUACUUCUCCCGGUAGGGUUCCGGUAACCCUCCGGCUCUCCGGUUUUCUCCGAAAUCACCUGGAACACUUUCGGUGUCCGAAUAUAGCCGUCCAAUAUAUCAAUAUUUAUGUCUCGACCAUUUCGAGACUCCUCGUCAUGUCCGUGAUCACAUUUGGGACUCCGAACUAACUUCGGUACAUCAAAAUGCAUAAACUCAUAAUAACUGUCAUCGUAACGUUAAGCGUGCGGACCCUACGGUUCGAGAACAAUGCAGACAUGACUGAGACACAUCUCCGGUCAAUAACCAAUAGCAGGACCUGGAUGCCCAUAUUGGCUCCUACAUAUUCUACGAAGAUCUUUAUUGGUCAGACCGCAUAACAACAUACGUUGUUCCCUUUGUCAUCGGUAUGUUACUUGCCCGAGAUUCGAUCGUCGGUAUCCAAUACCUAGUUCAAUCUCGUUACCGGCAAGUCUCUUUACUCGUUUUGUAAUACAUCAUCCCGCAACUAACUCAUUAGUUGCAAUGCUUGCAAGGCUUAUGUGAUGUGCAUUACCGAGAGGGCCCAGAGAUACCUCUCCGACAAUCGGAGUGACAAAUCCUAAUCUCGAAAUACGCCAACCCAACAUCUACCUUUGGAGACACCUUUAGAGCUCCUUUAUAAUCACCCAGUUACGUUGUGACAUUUGGCAGCACACAAAGUGUUCCUCCGGCAAACAGGAGUUGCAUAAUCUCAUAGUCAUAGGAACAUGUAUAAGUCAUGAAGAAAGCAAUAGCAACAUACUAAACGAUCGGGUGCUAAGCUAAUGGAAUGGGUCAUGUCAAUCAGAUCAUACAACUAAUGAUGUGACCUCGUUAAUCAAAUAACAACUCUUUGUUCAUGGUUAGGAAACAUAACCAUCUUCGAUUAACGAGCUAGUCAAGUAGAGGCAUACUAGUGACACUCUGUUUGUCUAUGUAUUCACACAUGUAUUAUGUUUUCAGUUAAUACAAUUCUAGCAUGAAUAAUAAACAUUUAUCAUGAUAUAAGGAAAUAAAUAAUAACUUUAUUAUUGCCUCUAGGGCAUAUUUCCUUCAGUCUCCCACUUGCACUAGAGUCAAUAAUCUAGAUCACAUCACCAUGUGAUUAACAUCGAUAGUUCACAUCAUCAUGUGAUUAACACUCAUAGUUCACAUCGCCAUGUGACCAACACCCAAAGGGUUUACUAGAUUCAGUAAUCUAGUUCACAUCGCUAUGUGAUUAACACCCAAAGAGUACUAAGGUGUGAUCAUGUUUUGCUUGUGAGAGAACCUUUAGUCAACGGGUCUGCCACAUUCAGAUCCACAUGUAUUUUGCAAAUUUCUAUGUUAACAAUGCUCUGCAUGGAGCUACUCUAGCUAAUUGCUCCCACUUUCAAUAUGUAUCUAGACCGAGACUUAGAGUCAUCUAGAUUAGUGUCAAAACUUGCAUCGGCGUAACCCUUUACGGCGAACCUUUUGUCACGUCCAUAAUCGAGAAACAUAUCCUUAUUUCACUAAGGAUAAUUCUGACCGCUGUCUAGUGAUCUACUCCUAGAUCACUAUUGUACUCCCUUGCCAAAUCAGUGCAGGGUAUACAAUAGAUCUGGUAUACAGCAUGACAUACUUUAUAGAACCUAUGGCCAAGGCAUAGGGAAUGACUUUCAUUCUCUUUCUAUCUUCUGCCGUGGUCGGGCUUUGAGUCUUACUCAACUUCACACCUUGUAAUACAGGCAAGAACUCUUUCUUUGACUGUUCCAUUUUGAACUACUUCAAAAUCUUGUCAAGGUAUGUACUCAUUGAAAAACUUAUCAAGCGUCUUGAUCUAUCUCUAUAGAUCUUGAUGCUCAAUAUGUAAGCAGCUUCACCGAAGUCUUUCUUUGAAAAACUCCUUUCAAACACUCCUUUAUGCUUUGUAGAAUAAUUCUACAUUAUUUCCGAUCAACAAUAUGUCAUUCACAUAUACUUAUCAGAAAUGUUGUAGUGCUCCCACUCACUUUCUUGUAAAUACAGGCUUCACCGCAAGUCUGUAUAAAACUAUAUGCUUUGAUCAACUUAUCGAAGCGUAUAUUCCAUCUCCGAGAUGCUUGUACCAGUCCAUAGAUGGAUCGCUGGAGCUUGCACAUUUUGUUAGCACCUUUCGGAUUGACAAAACCUUCUGGUUGCAUCAUAUACAACUCUUCUUUAAUAAAUCCAUUAAGGAAUGCAGUUUUGUUUAUCCAUUUGCCAGAUUUCAUAAAAUGCGGCAAUUACUAACAUGAUUCGGACAGACUCAAGCAUAGAUACGAGUGAGAAACUCUCAUCGUAGUCAACACCUUGAACUUGUCGAAAACCUUUUUGCGACAAUUCUAGCUUUGUAGAUAGUAACACUACUAUCAGCGUCCGUCUUCCUCUUGAAGAUCCAUUUAUUCUCAAUUGCUUGCCGAUCAUCGGGCAAGUCAACCAAAGUCCAAACUUUGUUCUCAUACAUGGAUCAUAUCUCAGAUUUCAUGGCCUCAAACCAUUUCGCAGAAUCUGGGCUCAUCAUCGCUUCCUUAUAGUUCGCAAGUUCGUCAUGGUCUAGUAACAUGACUUUUAGAACGGGAUUACCGUACCACUCUGGUGCGGAUCUCAUUCUGGUUUACCUACGAGAUUCGGUAGUAACUUGAUCUGAAGUUACAUGAUCAUCAUCAUUAGCUUCCUCACUAAUUAGUGUAGUAGUCACAAGAACAGAUUUUUGUGAUGAACUACUUUCCAAUAAGGGAGAAGGUACAAUUACCUUAUCAAAUUUUCUACUUUCCUCCCACUCACUUCUUUCGAGAGAAACUCCUUCUCUAGAAAGGAUCCAUUAUAAGCAACGAAUGUCUUGCUUUAGGAUCUGUGAUAGAAGGUGUACCCAACAGUCUCCUUUGGGUAUCCUAUGAAGACAUAUUUCUCCGAUUUGAGUUUGAGCUUAUCGAGAUGAAACUUUUUCACAUAAGCAUCGCAACUCCAAACUUUAAGAAACGACAGCUUAGGUUUCUUGCCAAACCAUAGUUCACAUUGUGUCGUCUCAACGGAUUUAGAUGGUGCCCUAUUUAAUGUGAAUGCAGCUGUCUCUAAUGCAUAACCCCAAAACGAUAGUGGUAGAUCGGUAAGAGACAUCUUAGAUCGCACUAUAUCUAAUAAAGUACGGUUAUGACGUUCGGACACACCAUUACACUAUGGUGUUCCAGGUGGCGUGAGUAGUGAAACUAUUUCACAUUCUUUUAAUUGAAGGCCAAACUCGUAACUCAAAUAUUUUACCUCUGCGAUCAUAUCAUAGAAACUUUUAUUUUCUUGUUACGAUGAUUCUCCACUUCACUCUGAAAUUCUUUGAACUUUUCAAAUGUUUCAGACUUGUGUUUCAUCAAGUAGAUAUACUCAUAUCUGCUCAAAUCAUCUGUGAAGAUCAGAAAAUAAUGAUACCUGUUGCGAGCCUCAAUAUUCAUCGGACCACAUACAUCAGUAUGUAUGAUUUCCAACAAAUCUGUUGCUCGCUCCAUUGCUCCGAAGAACAGAGUUUUAGUCAUCUUGCCCAUGAAGCAUGGUUCGCAAGCAUCAACUGAUUCAUAAUCAAGUGAUUCCAAAAGCCCAUCAGCAUGGAGUUUCUUCAUGCGCUUUACACCAAUAUGACCUAAACGGCAGUGCCACAAAUAAGUUGCACUAUCAUUAUUAACUUUGCAUAUUUUGGUUUCAAUAUUAUGAUUAUGUGUAUCACUAUGAUCGAGAUCCAAAAUACUAUUUUCAUUCGGUGUGUAACCAUAUAAGGUUUUAUUCAUGUAAACAGAACAACAAUUUAUUCUCUUACUUAAAUGAAUAACCGUAUUACAAUAAACAUGAUCAAAUCAUAUUCAUGCUCAACGCAAACACCAAAUAACACUUAUUUAGGUUCAACACUAAUCCCGAAAUUAUAGGGAGUGUGCGAUGAUGAUCAUAUCAAUCUUGGAACCACUUCCAACACACAUCGUCACUUCACCCUUAACUAGUCUCUGUUUAUUCUGCAACUCCCGUUUCGAGUUACUAAUCUUAGCAACUGAACUAGUAUCAAAUACUGAGGGGUUGCUAUAAACACUUGUAAAGUACACAUCAAUAACAUGUAUAUUAAAUAUACUUAUGUUCACUUUGCCAUCCUUCUUAUCCGCCAAUCACUUGGGGUAGUUCUGUUUCCAGUGACCAGUCCCUUUGCAGUAGAAGCACUUAGUCUCAGGCUUAGGAUCAGACUUGGGCUUCUUCACUUGAGCAGCAACUUGCUUGCCGUUCUUCUUGAAGUUCCCCUUCUUCCCUUUGCCCUUUUCUUGAAACUAGUGGUCUUGUUAACCAUCAACACUUGAUGUUUUUCUUGAUUUCUACCUUCGUUGAUUUCAGCAUCACGAAGAGCUUGGGAGUUGUUUCCGUUAUCCCUUGCAUAUUAUAGUUCAUCACGAAGUUCUACUAACUUGGUGAUGGUGACUAGAGAAUUCUGUCAAUCACUAUCUUAUCUGGAAGAUUAACUCCCACUUGAUUCAAGCGAUUGUAGUACCCAGACAAUCUGAGCACAUGCUCACUAGUUGAGCGAUUCUCCUCCAUCUUUUAGCUAUAGAACUUGUUGGAGACUUCAUAUCUCUCAACUCGGGUAUUUUCUUGAAAUAUUAACUUCAACUCCUGGAACAUCUCAUAUGGUCCAUGACGUUCAAAACGUAUUUGAAGUCCCGAUUCUAAGCCAUUAAGCAUGGUGCACUUAAACUAUCAAGUAGUCAUCAUAUUGAGCUAGCCAAACGUUCAUAACGUCUGCUGCUCCUGCAAUAGGUCUGUCACCUAGCGGUGCAUCAAGGACAUAAUUCUUCUGUGCAGCAAUGAGGAUAAACCUCAGAUCACGGAUCCAAUCCGCAUCAUUGCUACUAACAUCUUCCAACACAAUUUUCUCUAGGAACAUAUCAAAAUAAACACAGGGAAGCAACAACGCGAGCUAUUGAUCUACAACAUAAUUUGCAAAAUACUACCAGGACUAAGUUCAUGAUAAAUUUAAGUUCAAUUUAAUCAUAUUACUUAAGAACUCCCACUUAGAUAGACAUCCCUCUAAUCCUCUAAGUGAUCACGUGAUCCAAAUCAACUAAACCAUGUCCGAUCAUCACGUGAGAUGGAGUAGUUUCAUUGGUGAACAUCACUAUGUUGAUCAUAUCUACUAUAUGAUUCACGCUCGACCUUUCGGUCUCUGUGUUCCGAGGCCAUAUCUGUAUAUGCUUGGCUCGUCAAGUAUAACCUGAGCAUUCCGCGUGUGCAACUGUUUUGCACCCGUUGUAUUUGAACGUAGAGCCUAUCACACCCGAUCAUCACGUGGUGUCUCAACACGAAGAACUUUCGCAACGGUGCAUACUCGGGGAGAACACUUCUUGAUAGUUUAGUGAGAGAUCAUCUUAUAAUGCUACCGUCAAUCAAAACAAGAUAAGAUGCAUAAAAGAUAAACAUCACAUGCAAUCAAUAUAAGUGAUAUGAUAUGGCCAUCAUCAUCUUGUGCCUGUGAUCUCCAUCUCCGAAGCACCGUCAUGAUCACCAUCGUCAUCGGCGCGACACCUUGAUCUCCAUCGUAGCAUCGUUGUCGUCUCGCCAAUCUUAUGCUUCCACGACUAUCGCUACCGCUUAGUGAUAAAGUAAAGCAUUACAACGCGAUUGCAUUGCAUACAAUAAAGCGACAACCAUAUGGCUCCUGCCAGUUGCCGAUAACUCGGUUACAAAAUAUGAUCAUCUCAUACAAUAAAAUUCAGCAUCAUGCCUUGACCAUAUCACAUCAGAACAUGCCCUACAAAAACAAGUUAGACGUCCUCUACUUUGUUGUUGCAAGUUUUACGUGGCUGCUACGGGCUUAAGCAAGAACCAAUCUCACCUACGCAUCAAAACCACAACGAUAGUUUGUCAAAUAGACUCCGUUUUAACCUUCGCAAGGACCGGGCGUAGCCACACUCGGUUCAACUAAAGUUGGAGAGACAGUCGCCCGCAAGCCACCUAUGUGCAAAGCACGUCGGGGGAACCGGUCUCGCGUAAGCGUACGCGUAAUGUUGGUCCGGGUCGUCUCGUCCAACAAUACCGCCGAACCAAAGUAUGACAUGCUGGUAGGCAGUAUGACUUAUAUCGCCCAUAACUCACUUGUGUUCUACUCGUGCAAAUAACAUCAAACCAUAAAACCUGGCUCUGAUACCACUGUUGGGGAACGCAGUAAUUUCAAAAAAUUUCCUACACACAUGCAAGAUCAUGGUGAUGCAUAGCAACGAGAGGGGAGAGUGUUGUCUACAUACCCACGCACACCGACUGCGGAAGCGUUGACGCAACGUAGAGGAAGUAGUCGUACGUCUUCCCGAUCCGACCGAUCCAAGCACCGUUACUCCGGCAUCUCCGAGUUCUUAGCACACGUACAGCUCGAUGACGAUCCCCGGGCUCCGAUCCAGCAAAGUGUCGAGGAGGAGUUCCAUCAGCACGACGGCGUGGUGACGAUCUUGAUGUUCUACCGUCGCAGGGCUUCGCCUAAGCACUGCUACAAUAUGAUCGAGGUGGAAUAUGGUGGCAGGGGGCACCACACACGGCUAAGGAACAAUCUCAAUGAUCAACUUGUGUGUCUAGAGGUGCCCCCUGCCCCCGUAUAUAAAGGAGCAAGGGGAGGAGGCCGGCCAGCCCCUACAGGCGCGCCAGGAGGAGUCCUCCUCCUAGUAGGAGUAGGACUCCUACUAGGAGGGGGAAAGAGGUGGAGUGGGAGAAGGAAAGGGGGGCGCCGCCCCCUCCCCUAGUCCAAUUCGGACCAGGGAGGAGGUGGCGCGCGGCCCACCUCUGGCAGCCCUUCUCUCUCUCCACUAAAGCCCAUAUGGCCCAUUACUUCUCCCGGUAGGGUUCCGGUAACCCUCCGGCUCUCCGGUUUUCUCCGAAAUCACCCGGAACACUUCCGGUGUCCGAAUAUAGCCGUCCAAUAUAUCAAUCUUUAUGUCUCGACCAUUUCGAGACUCCUCGUCAUGUCCGUGAUCACAUCCGGGACUCAGAACUAACUUCGGUACAUCAAAAUGCAUAAACUCAUAAUAACUAUCAUCGUAACGUUAAGCGUGCGGACCCUACGGUUCGAGAACAAUGCAGACAUGACUGAGACACAUCUCCGGUCAAUAACCAACAGUGGGACCUGGAUGCCCAUAUUGGCUCCUACAUAUUCUACGAAGAUCUUUAUCAGUCAGACCGCAUAACAACAUACACUGUUCCCUUUGUCAUCGGUAUGUUACUUGCCCGAGAUUCGAUCGUCGGUAUCCAAUACCUAGUUCAAUCUCGUUACCGGCAAGUCUCUUUACUCGUUUUGUAAUACAUCAUCCCGCAACUAACUCAUUAGUUGCAAUGCUUGCAAGGCUUAUGUGAUGUGCAUUACCGAGAGGGCCCAGAGAUACCUCUCCGACAAUCGGAGUGACAAAUCCUAAUCUCGAAAUACGCCAACCCAACAUCUACCUUUGGAGACACCUGUAGAGCUCCUUUAUAAUCACCCAGUUACGUUGUGACGUUUGGUAGCACACAAAAUGUUCCUCCGGCAAACAGGUGUUGCAUAAUCUCAUAGUCAUAGGAACAUGUAUAAGUCAUGAAGAAAGCAAUAGCAACAUACUAAACGAUCGGGUGUUAAGCUAAUGGAAUGGGUCAUGUCAAUCAGAUCAUUCAACUAAUGAUGUGACCUCGUUAAUCAAAUAACAACUCUUUGUUCAUGGUUAGGAAACAUAGCCAUCUUUGAUUAACGAGCUAGUCAAGUAGAGGCAUACUAGUGACACUCUAUUUGUCUAUGUAUUCACACAUGUAUUAUGUUUCUGGUUAAUACAAUUCUAGCAUGAAUAAUAAACAUUUAUCAUGAUAUAAGGAAAUAAAUAAUAACUUUAUUAUUGCCUCUAGGGCAUAUUUCCUUCACUUUUCUCAUAGGAAAGGAGGGUGCUUUAAUUUUUUACAGAACAAAAUUGAGAUUGAUUUAUUCUUUAGUUAAAAUUGGUGCCACGAAUAUGUUUCAUGGAAUCUGAGAAUUGUUCCAAACGUAUUGAUAAAGUGCUUCCAAUGAAGUAAAAAUUGGCAGUCUGAGGAUUUUGCAUUGAACCUCUUUUAAAAUGGUGAUGAAAGAGCACACAUGUUCAAGAUAAGUUUGGCCUUAAUCUAAUCGAGAAACAACUAUUUUUCAUACCAGACAAGCAACUACUCCUCUCUGACUCAAUGUGCCACACCAUUCACUCACCGGUGUAAUCCAUACACAUGUUCAGUACCUUUUGAAUUUUAUGCUCCCGCUUCUCCAUGUGUCAACCCCUUUGUUCCUUGUUGACCCUAGCUUGUCUUGAUACAACAUCAAGCAACAACAAAAUAUUACACCUGAUAGGACAUCAAGCUAUACAGGAACUAUUAGACCACCCAAAUUAUUGAAGUUUCAGAAUUUGUGUCUGGGUCCAUGCCUAAUAAACUGUAAGAAAACCAAAAGAUACUUAAUGAUAUGAAUCAACUUGGUUAAGUAUGGUCAAAUACAAUGCACGGUGGAAUAUCUUCCCUGGAAAACAAAAGAAAAGGAGAUGGAAGAAAUCAUGUACUCAAUGGGUGGCUGUAAGUUCACGUGUAUCAAGACUUGGCUCACAUAUCAUUGAACAUGGGUCUGUGUCAAUAUGGCUCUGGUGCCCAGUUUAUCACGAUGUUUUGUUAUUAUUUCCGAGAUAGUACUUUCUAUUAUAGUGUUGAGAUAAGCAAUUUAGAUGUUUUAAAUAUUCCCAGCUCUUGACGUAAGAAAUUUAGAUAGAAAGAUGCAGUUCACCUGUGAUGUCUGCACCUAAACACCUAGAAAUUUGGACAAGAAGUAUUUCAGUAACUGAAUAAUCUUUGACCGUCCAAAAGAACUACGAUGUUUCUUUGGGAAUAACAGCAGAACAAAAAAUCCGAGAAUCAUGGCUGACCUAUGAGGCGCAGAUGUU
rnacentral:lncRNA from 1 species